GCCGCUGCUGAUACUGUUGCUGCUGCUGCUGCUGCUGCUGCUGCUGCUGCAGGUCUCUUGCAGAUGUUGAUGUUGCAGUUGCAGUGGCCGUUUCUACUGCUGC
rnacentral:sRNA from 1 species